rnacentral:tRNA from 1 species
GGCUGCGUAGUUUAAUGGAUAAAACUAGCGUUUCCUAAACGCUCGAUACGAGUUCGAUUCCCGUCGCGGCUA